rnacentral:rRNA from 1 species
CAGUCGCCACGGGAAUACGUAGGUGGCAAGCGUUGUCCGGAAUUAUUGGGCGUAAAGGGCUCGCAGGCGGUUUCUUAAGUCUGACGUGAAAGCCCCCGGCUCAACCGGGGAGGGUCAUUGGAAACUGGGAAACUUGAGUGCAGAAGAGGAGAGUGGAAUUCCACGUGUAGCGGUGAAAUGCGUAGAGAUGUGGAGGAACACCAGUGGCGAAGGCGACUCUCUGGUCUGUAACUGACGUUGAGGAGCGAAAGCGUGGGGAGCGAACAGGAUUAGAUACCCCGGUAGUCCCUGUCUCUUAUAA